UUUCCGUAGGUGAACCUGCGGAAGGAUCAUUACAGAGUUCAUGCCCGAAAGGGUAGACCUCCCACCCUUGUGUAUUAUUACUUUGUUGCUUUGGCGGGCCGUUAGGCUCCGGCCCGACUACCGGCCCCGGCUGGUGAGCGCCCGCCAGAGGACCCAAAACCCUGAAUAUUAGUGUCGUCUGAGUACUAUAUAAUAGUUAAAACUUUCAACAACGGAUCUCUUGGUUCUG
rnacentral:misc_RNA from 1 species